GGAUCAUCAGCAUGUUUGCCUUGGAUUCACAAACAUUUAACACAUUAGGCCGAGAGCAAACUAAGCAACGGUGUUGCUUGCAAUCUGAUGUUGUUUGUGACAGCCCAAGUUGAAGGCAACGACUGGGCAGAAUUUGCUAGUGAGGUCAAGUUUUUGCAGCCAAUCGGCAUCUAACUGGUUUUGAAGUGUAUGAGAUUUAAAAUGGCGGCAGAGUAUAGUACAGAUGAGCUUUUUACUUAUGGCUUCAGCUUCAAUAAUGUCUGCUAUCGUUAGUGAUGACGCUAAAAAUCGAAAAAAAGGAAGAGGCCCAGAUAGGAGUUGGAUGCGGCGUAGAGAAGAACGUGGGGUAAUGAACUCAUUAGUUCAAGAAUUGCGUCUCGAAGACACCUCCUCAUAUAGAAAUUGGAUGAGGAUGAAUGAAGAAUGUUUCCGAAGUCUCUUGAGACUAG
rnacentral:lncRNA from 1 species